UACGUAGGCAGCAAGCGUUGUUCGGAAUUACUGGGCGUAAAGAGUGUGUAGGCGGUGCUCUAAGUUAGGUGUGAAAUCUCCCGGCUCAACCGGGAGGGUGCGCCGAAAACUGGGAGACUAGAGUGCGGGAUGGGAGAGUAGAAUUCCUGGUGUAGCGGUGAAAUGCGUAGAUAUCAGGAGGAACACCUGUGGCGAAAGCGGCUCACUGGACCAUAACUGACGCUGAUGCACGAAAGCUAGGGGAGCAAACAGG
rnacentral:rRNA from 1 species